GGACCUAGCUGUCAAUCAAGAGAAGGUUCCAAGGGAAUGUUCCCAGGAGUGGCAGUUGGGGGUUUCUGGCCACACUAGGGGAAGAAGCAGGAUCAAAAAGGCUUUUGGACUUUGUCUCUGGCUCUGAGCAGUUUGAGUUGACCAGAGGGAAGGAUAUGGAGUUAGAGUUGCUCUCUCUCUGGAGGUUGAAAUCAGGCUGAAAGACCCUUGUGGGACUGACUUGUUUUUUUUGAGGUUCUCUGACUUUGGACAGUUGAAGUUGACAAGAAGGAGAAACUUGACUUUUGAGUUGGUGGUCUAUUUAAGAGUUGAGCUGGCCAGGAGAAACUGAGAGACUGUGAACUUUGUUUCUCUCUGGGGUUGAAGCUGAGAAAGGAGACAAGCCAGGCUGAUUUUGUGAAGAAGAAGAGAGAAGGUUUUGAACUGCUGUUGUCCUCCAUCUCCCUAUUAGAAAGAUAAACUGAUCCAUCAGCCAUCAGUAGGGAUCAGUAGGCAGACCCCAGAGUAAACCUCAGAGCAGUCCCCUGUGUGGCAGUAUUCCUGUGUGGUAUCCCUCAGCAUUUUUCAUCUCUACCUCCAUUUCAAGUGAGCAGCAUCAGGUUCCCUUAGCAGCUUUCUCUAGUCACAACCCAGAGAACAGCAGUCAUUGUAAGAAGAAACAGCUUCUUCAAUUUACUUUUACUCUAUCUCAUGCCUUAAAGUCACCACAUCCUUGUUCUGUCCUAUUUCAGAAGUCAAGGAAGCAAGUAGAUGGACAUUAGGAGGAAGAUCAUUCCAGGCAUGAAGAACAGAGUGAAGCAAUGGCUGAACCAAAGACCUGUAUUGUCUCAUUCAAAGAAUAGCCAGGAGACCAGUGGACCUGAAUCAAAGAGUAUACGUUGUAUGAAAACCCCAUAA
ensembl:lncRNA